UUAAGAAUCUUGCACAAUGGGGGCAACCCUGAUGCAGCGACGCCGCGUGAAUGAUGAAGGCCUUCGGGUUGUAAAGUUCAGUAAGCAGGGAAGAAUAAGCAACGGGUAAUAUUCGUUGUGAUGACGGUACCUGCCUAAAGCCCCGGCUAACUACGUGCCAGCAGCCGCGGUAAUACGUAUGGGGCAAGCGUUGUUCGGAAUUAUUGGGCGUAAAGGGCGUCUAGGCGGGGGAUUAAGUUAGAUGUGAAAGCCACGGGCUCAACCCGUGAACUGCAUCUAAGACUGGUUCUCUUGAGUUCGGGAGAGGAGAGCGGAAUUCCAGGUGUAGCGGUGAAAUGCGUAGAUAUCUGGAAGAACACCAGUGGCGAAGGCGGCUCUCUGGCCUAGAACUGACGCUGAAGCGCGAAAGCGUGGGGAGCGAACA
rnacentral:rRNA from 1 species